CAAGAUCUAGAGAAGAAGCAGGAAGAAGAAAGGCACAAUCUUUACCGACCCACUUAAAAGAAUUAGUGGUAAGUUGAGCUGCUUCCUGACACUAUCUUCCAUGUAAAGUUUUUAUGUAGGGAGAGAGAGAAGGCCUACUCUCCACUAAAGAGAGAGAGAGAGAGAGAGAGAGAGAGAAGAGAGAGGGGGAUGGUGUACUUGUGAGCAACAAAUAAAGAAACAAAGAUAUACCAUCUCUCUCUUUGUAUCUGACAAAAGUGUACUAAGGAAGAGACAUGGAGGGGAAGAGAAGAGAGAAUGUGUAAAGCUUUUUAAUUAAUAAGAUUUAUGUAUAUGUGGGCUGUGUAUUAUGUUAUCUUCGUCUUGGUGCUUAACACUUCUGUUCGAGAAAUCAUAGCUUAUUCGUGACUACAGUCUAAACGGACAUCUCUUUCUAGAAUCAUCUAAAUAUGGGAAGUUUGGCACUUGAUACUGAGAGUGUAGACCCAGAUAUAUACCAGACAUUGGGACUGAAAGAAUUGGGCAGAGGAGUUCUGGGAAGUCCAAAGAUUUUAUCACUUGUUGCCAGAGUUUUGGAGAGAUCUGUUCAGAAAAAUGAAUUGCUACUGGAGACAAUGCAGAUUGAAGAUAACAUGACGGUAUUUCAUGGGUUAAGAGCACCGACCAUAACUAUUCAACAAUAUAUUGAUCGCAUCUUCAAGUAUGCUAGCUGUAGCCCCUCCUGCUUUGUUAUUGCACAAAUUUAUGUGGAUAAAUUCCUUCAGCAAACUGAAGUUCAUUUAACUUCUCUUAAUGUUCACCGGCUUCUUAUAACAAGUGUAAUGGUAGCUGCAAAAUUUAUUGAUGAUGCAUUUUACAAUAACGCAUACUACGCCAGAGUGGGAGGAGUAAGCACAUCAGAAUUGAACAGGAUGGAAAUGAAGUUUUUGUUUAGUCUAGAUUUCAGACUUCAAGUGAAUGUGAAGACAUUCCAAAGGUUUUGUUCACAGUUGGAAAAAGAAGCUGCAGAAGGUCUCCAAAUUGAACGGCCAAUUCAAGCCUGUAAAGUUAAGGAGAACUGGUCAAAUAAAGGCAAUUCAGCAUGUGUUCCCACGAGUGCAAGAUGAAAAUAGCAAAUCAUAUCAAUGUAUCAUUACAAUCCCUACAUUUGGCUUGAGCAUUUUCAAGUUCUGGAUGUUGUUGAUUAUCGUCUAUGCCAUAGUUGUUUUUAGUGAAUGAUCAUUGCAGAGGCAGCAUGUUCACUUUCUCUGCAUGAUUUUUUUGUGGCAGCUGUUGAUGAUAUGGAAAGAGUAAUUAUAUCCAUUAAAAUUCGAAAGAAAUUGUGGGCACAUAUCAGUUUGAAGAGCACAGCUACCAUCAGUGCCCCGUGUUUGGCUGUGUUUUACCUGGAACGUCAGACAUGCAGAUUCUUGUGGCUGCUUCAGAACUACAAAAACAAUUACUGUAGUUGUGGAGGGAAUAGAGAAAAUCAUAACAAGGCACAACAAAGUAAAAGAAAUAUGAUAAUAGCGAAAGACAAGGGGUUCAAGGCUUCAAGCAAGAAGAGUCUUGAGUAGACCUCUGGUUUCUCAAUGUUUGAGUUGGCAAUCUUUGUCACAUCUCUGUGGCCCAGCGGAUGAGCUUAGAAUCCUGUUUAUUAGGCUUGAAUUUUCAUAACUAAAUAGAUGGGUUAUGAGCUUAGGAUCCAGUUUAUUAGGUUUGAAUUUUCAUAACUAAAUAAAUGAAUUUUGCAGGAAGAAUGCUUGUUUGAAGUCUAAAAGCAAAACUUGUGCGAGCUACUGCAAAGCGGACAAUAUCUAUUUGGUUAAACCGGAAUUUGAUAAUUAGUGUCAAAGCAGUAUUUCACGAGGAUGUGAGACUUUAGAAGAUGAGGAGUUUGUCACAUCAUACUUGCGGAAACGCAAAAACAAACUCAUGAGAGUCUGGACACAAAGUGCACAACAUUUACUUAGUCGGACCGGGGAUUUGACAGUACUAGUCUACUGAAAUAUUGUUGCCAUUACAAUCAUGAUUCCAACCCAAAUUUGAAUACAAACAAAAAAAAUAUUUGAUUCAUGUUUGUCUCUCUUUGUUGAAGAAGCUGCCAACUUGUUUCAGCACCCUUAUCUGCUGAGUACUCUAGACAUAAGUGGCUUCUCUCUUGUUGUGGAACAGGGUGAAGCCAUGAAAACUACAGUGUCAACUGUUAAACUUCAAAAUUCCAACUGCAAGCUUUGACAUUCUGAGUGCAGAAGUUUUCAUAUUCCUUUUAAGUUUUAACGCGAGUUGUUCUUGUUCUUUAACUCGUGUUUACAUGAAAACUGCCAGACUUGAGUCUGACCAUGUCUUGCACUUGCAGGUGGAAUUUUAAAGUAUGACACUGUAUCUUCCAUGGCUGCACCUCGCUCUACGAAGAGUGCGCGCUUCCUCUUUCAACUUCCUUAUACAAUGACUCCGAGAGAGUGAAUAAAUAAGUAAAAAAAAGCUUGGGAGACGCAGGCGCACGCCUUCAAGCCGCCCUUCACGAAUCACGCCUCCAAGUUGGCCUUCACGAAUCACGCCUACAAAUUCAGUUGUAGGCUCUUAUUCGCGCCUCACAAGUCAUAUUCCUCAUGUAAGCGGGUGAAACUGUUAUGAGACAAGAAGUUCCCACUUUUUUUUUUUUUCUCUUUUUUAUCAAUUAAAGAGUAAUAU